AUGUUGUUUAGAUGCGCUCGGCCGCAUAAUCUGCAGUUGCCAAUGGAGGAAGGUAGAUGCAAGCGUAUGACCGACCCAGCUACUGAAAUACUGGGAAGUGAUCUUUGUCUGUCCAUUGAUCCUCCUCUGCAGAAGGCUGAUGACAAAUGCAAGCAUUUAGCCGACCCAAGGAGUCGAAUAAGGGGCAGAGAUGGCCUCUGUGUUGACGUGGAGGGGUUUAUUUAUCGAGAUGGAACCCCAGUUGUUCUCUUCGCAUGCAGGAGCAGUGACUUCAGUAACCAGCUUUGGAAGUUCCGAGCAGACGGCAUGGUCGUAUCUCUGGACAAGUGCUUGGCAGCAACCGGGGUAAACCCGGGAAGCACUGUGGUGAUACAUCAAUGCGAUACUCUCCAUGAUUCCGCGGUUCAAUGGGUGAUGAGCAACUCCGGGACUCUGUCCAACCGAGGCAGCGGGCUGGUCUUGGAUGCUGCUUCUGGUUCUGGAAAACAGCUGAAACUGCAGAGUGACACUAAUUCCAGCUUUCAAGCCUGGCAGAGGACUAAUAAUAUUAAAGCGGUUGAUGUCUACAUACAUGGUGAAAAUAAUCGGUGCAUCUACUAUAAUGGUGACUAUGGGAUUUAUGUAGAGGGAUGUCGCAAAGACUACUCCUGGCAAAAGUGGAGACUGUACCCAGAUAGUACUAUCCGACCUAUACAACAACUGCGUGGUUGUCUCGAGCUUAAUAGUUUCAAAAAUUCAACUUGGUUUUAUAAUUACAUCCAAUUUGGGAAUUGCCUUUGGUAUGCUGAUUACCACCGUUGGAUCUUUACCCACGAGGGAACCAUCAUGAAUUUGAAGAGCAACUCGGUGAUUGAUGAGGACAGGGACUAUCCAGGAAAGGGAUGGCUCAAGGCAGCGCCCUUCCAAGGUGGCCUCAAUCAAAUCUGGAAGCUUGAAUUUAUAAAAUAA
rnacentral:rRNA from 1 species